GCCUGGGUGGCUCAGUUGGUUAAGCAUCUGACUUCAGCUCAGGUCAUGAUCCCCCAGUUCAUGGGUUCAAGUCCUUUGUCCGGCU
rnacentral:tRNA from 1 species